rnacentral:rRNA from 1 species
UAAGGAAUAUUGGACAAUGGAGGCAACUCUGAUCCAGCCAUGCCGCGUGAAGGAAUAAGGCCCUAUGGGUUGUAAACUUCUUUUAGACGGGACAAAACCCCUUUACGUGUAAAGGGUUGAUGGUACUGUCAGAAUAAGCAUCGGCUAACUUCGUGCCAGCAGCCGCGGUAAUACGAAGGAUGCAAGCGUUAUCCGGAAUUAUUGGGUUUAAAGGGUGCGUAGGCGGACUAAUAAGUCGGUGGUGAAAGCCUGCAGCUUAACUGCAGAAUUGCCAUUGAUACUGUUAGUCUUGAGUACAGUUGAGGUAGGCGGAAUGUGUCAUGUAGCGGUGAAAUGCUUAGAUAUGACACAGAACACCUAUUGCGAAGGCAGCUUGCUAAGCUGUAACUGACGCUGAGGCACGAAAGCGUGGGGAGCAAACA